UACGUAGGGGGCAAGCGUUGUCCGGAAUCAUUGGGCGUAAAGAGCGUGUAGGCGGCUCGAUAAGUCUGCUGUGAAAGUCCAGGGCUCAACCCUGGAAGGCCGGUGGAAACUGUCGGGCUAGAGUCCGGAAGAGGCGAGUGGAAUUCCCGGUGUAGCGGUGAAAUGCGUAGAUAUCGAGAGGAACACCUGCGGCGAAGGCGGGUUGCUGGGCUGACACUGACGCUGAUUGUGCGAAAGCUAGGGGAGCGAACGGG
rnacentral:rRNA from 1 species